AUUGGAUGUGAAGCAUGAGAAGAAAUGGAGAGGACCAAGAUGACCUGGAUUUCUGGCUUAUGCAACUGCAUAGAAUAAACAGAGAAGAGUAUGAGAAGUGUUACAGAACAUGAAGAUACCCUUGUGGCUCAAACAUACUUAUUUUUAAAAACUCUAAAAGUCUAAAUGUGUCUGUAUCUGGAUAUAUUUUCAGUCAACUUAUGCUGUGUUGGGUAAAGGUAAACCAGCAUUUUCUAAUCUAUAUUUGUGCCACUAUCACCAGCAUUACACGAUAAGAUUUGUUAUAGGUUCAGUUCUUCUAGUUGAAUCCAAUCAUGCACAGUUAAUGUAGCCCAUUUCUGUUCUCCAUAAUAAUUUAUCUUAGUUUUGGGCAACUCUUUAUAGUCAGGAUAACUCUGCAGAGUGGAUGAAAUUCUAAUGAGUGGAAUUUGUUUUCUAGUGCUUUACUGAUAAGGUUAACCAGAUGGUGAAAUGUAAUAGCUUGGAAGAUGUAGUUUUGAUAUACAGUACAUCAUUUCUGGAAUGAUCAUGAAAAA
rnacentral:lncRNA from 1 species